rnacentral:rRNA from 1 species
UACAGAGGUCUCAAGCGUUGUUCGGAUUCAUUGGGCGUAAAGGGUGCGUAGGCGGGCAGGUAAGUCCGUGGUGAAAUCUCCGGGCUUAACCCGGAAACUGCCAUUGAUACUAUUUGUCUUGAAUACUGUGGAGGUCAGCGGAAUAUGUCAUGUAGCGGUGAAAUGCUUAGAUAUGACAUAGAACACCAAUUGCGAAGGCAGCUUGCUACACAGUUAUUGACGCUGAGGCACGAAAGCGUGGGGAUCAAACAGG